AGAAGAAGAAGAAGACUGGGUUACACCGGCCCCUGCCUUCAGCCACAACCCAUGGAAUCAUGCACUCAACUCGUAUGGCCCAUCCUGCAGGCUGUGGGCCCACAGGAAGGCAAACCCAUGUUGCUUGUUCAAGCUGAGCCCGACCAAUCCCCAUGGGUAGAGACCCGGUUACCAGGCACUCACGGACAAGCUCCUUCACCAGGCCUGGCUCCAGGGUGAGGCCCAGUAACGGCAAGACGAUCAACAAAUGAUGGGGGCUGAAAAGCUUUUAACAUUUCUACUAAUAUUAACAGUGACGCCAAAAAUAAGGACACAAGCACAAAUAUCAAGUACCACAUCUGCUCCAACAACAACCACAGCUGCUCCAACAACCAUAGGUGCACCAACUACAACCACAGCUGCUCCAACAACAACAGCUGCAGCAACAACAGCCACAUCUGCUCCAACAACAACCAUAGCUGCACCGACGACAACCACAUCUGCUCCAACAACAACCAUAGCUGCACCGACGACAACCACAUCUGCUCCAACAACAACCAUAGCUGCACCGACGACAACCACAUCUGCUCCAACAACCAAAGCUGCUCCAACAACCACAGGUGCACCAAC